UGGCUCUGCAUUUGAUGGGCUUGAUUAUUUUGAGGAUUGAUCGGGAAUGGAUCGAUGGACGGGAGAGGGUUGGAGACCUGUACCGAAGGGUCGUCUGUGAGGAAUACUUUCAGCCCAAGCUCCCCUUUCACACGGGAAAAGAUUCCACGCUUAUCCAACGGAUAGUGCAGGACCACAGCAUCAGAAGAAGGAACAAAGGAGGUUCCAGCAAUCCGA
rnacentral:misc_RNA from 1 species